AAGUCGUAACAAGGUUUCCGUAGGUGAACCUGCGGAAGGAUCAUUAUCGUGCAACAGAGGCGCGAGGGCUGUCGCCGACUCUCGUCGUGGACGCCCGAGCGCUCUCACCGCAUAUCCCACCUCACCCCUUUGUGCAUCACCGCGUGGGUCGUUCCUCACCCUUUCGGGGGGAAAGAAAGGCUCGCGUUUUUUUUUUAAUACCAAACCCCCUUUCGAACUAUGUUUUAGAAUGUUUUUACAUGAUCAAUACAACUUUCAACAACGGAUCUCUUGGCUCUCGCAUCGAUGAAGAACGCAGCGAAAUGCGAUACGUAAUGUGAAUUGCAGAAUUCAGUGAAUCAUCGAAUCUUUGAACGCACCUUGCGCCUCUUGGCAUUCCGAGAGGCACACCCGUUUGAGCGUCGUGACAUCCUCAACCUUUCUCGAUCCUUUUGCGACCGAGGAAGGCUUGGACUUUGGGGGAUAUGCUGGCUUCCUCCUUCGAAGCCAGCUCCCCUUAAACGGAUUAGUGGGUUUCGCUUCGCCGAUCCUCGACGUUGAUAAGAUGCUUCUACGUCUUGGGCUUAGUCGGACGCCUGCUUCUAACCGUCUCGAAAGGAGAGACAAACGCGAUCGUUCGAAAUUUGACCUCAAAUCGGGUGAGACUACCCGCUGAACUUAAGCAUAUCAAUAAGCGGAGGAAAAGAAACUAACGAGGAUUCCCCUAGUAACUGCGAGUGAAGCGGGAAAAGCUCAAAUUUAAAAUCUGGCGGUCUUCGGCCGUCCGAGUUGUAAUUUAGAGAA
rnacentral:misc_RNA from 1 species